rnacentral:rRNA from 1 species
UACGUAGGGGGCAAGCGUUGUCCGGAAUUAUUGGGCGUAAAGAGCUCGUAGGCGGUUUGUCACGUCUGCUGUGAAAACUGGAGGCUCAACCUCCAGCCUGCAGUGGGUACGGGCAGACUAGAGUGCGGUAGGGGAGAUUGGAAUUCCUGGUGUAGCGGUGGAAUGCGCAGAUAUCAGGAAGAACACCGGUGGCGAAGGCGGCCUGCUGGGCAGUAGCUGACGCUGAGGCGCGACAGCGUGGGGAGCAAACAGG